AGCCUCCCGAGUAUCUGGGACUACGGGUGCCCGCCACCACGCCCGGUUAAUUUUUUUUGUAUUUUUAGUAGAGACGGGGUUUCACUGUGUUUUUAGUAGAGACGGGGUUUCACUGUGUUAGCCAGGAUGGUCUCGGUCUCCUGACCUCGUGAUCCGCCCGCCUCGGCCUCCCAAAGUGCUGGAAUUACAGGCGUGAGCCACCGCGCCCGGCCUAUAAUUUUUUUUUUUUUUUUAACUCCUUCACUGUUGUUGGCAGAAUUUAGUUUCUUCCUGUUACAAGGAUUGAGGUCGCCAUUUCCUUGCUGGUAGUCACCUGAGGACUGUUCCCAGAUUCUAGAGACUGCCUGCAUACCUUGGCUUAUCACCUUCCACUGCCUGCAUACCUUGGCUUAUGCCCUUUCUCCUGCAUCUUCCAAGCCAGCAAUGGUAGGACCAUUCAGUAUUCUUGAGAAACACUGGCUAAUCUUCUAGUCGACAAAGUCACACCCAAGGAAAGCACCAAACUUCUCUGAGGAAGAGGUAACCAUCCAUCACGGUUUUCCCAGAACAGGCUGAUUUGCGUCUUCUGUCCUGGCAUAAGGAUCCCUUCACUCUCGAAAGUGUUCCGAUUUCCUACAUGUAUGCUGCACUGGGACCAGUCACGCAGAAAGACUGGCUAGACUUUCAGUCUCGGGAGAAUAGAUCCAAGCAUAAGUGGUAAAUUUGAAGGUGGCUUGGUUAAUGCUAAGUCAACCUGGAUAGUUUAAUUGCCAGGAAAUAGGGAGGUAAAACCAAGUCGAAGAGUUGUCUAUUGACAAUGGGACCAGGAUCAACGACCCCUGAGAUUUCCAGGAGUCAAUAUAGUUUCACAUCAACAGGAGUUAAGAAUGGUAUCCUUGGAGAUUACGUGGCGCCAAAAGAGCGAAGGUGGGAAGUUCAGCGUUAAAGAGUCUCUCCAGCCUGGAGAAUGAGCAGCAGUUCCUAAAGGAUUAUGCUAUCUUCUGAUCAACUUUUGACAUUUGACUUAAAAUUUUAAACUUGCAUAAGUAAUUGCAUGCACACAAUAAAAUAUUCAAAAGGUUCAAACAGGUGUAUAAUGAAAGGGAAGUCCUUCUCCAAGCCCUCAGUUAUCUUCCUCAGAAGAAACCACUGUCCCAGCAGCUCUGAAUCCCCCUUCCAGAGAUAUUCCCUGUGGCUGAGCACAGUGCCUGUGUAUAAUUACAACUGUUUAAUAUACAAAUUGUAUCUUACUGGGUUGCCCUUUCUUUUCUAUUUAACAGUGUGUCUUUGAGUUCAUUUUUUAUCCCCAUUCAUUUUAAUGGCUUCUGUUACCUUUUUAUCUGGUGGUUGGGGCUGUCAGUUUAACUCUAUUUCAUCUAACUCAUUUCACUUAAAUAAACUUUACCUUACAUUUAAAUUAGAUCAUAUGUAGUUAGCAUCUAAAAAAUAUCUGGCAUGGAUCAGGCUCUUCCACUUCUAUUUGUGUGAUAUUGAGGAAGUUACUCAAUUUUUCUAAGUCUCCUUUUUCUCAUGUAUAUAAUGGGGAUACUAUCUGCCUGACUGACAUGGCCAAUAUGACUGCUGUCUAUCAAAUGUGUGCUCUCUCUUUUACACUAGAGAGUUAUAUCUGGGAAGAAAUAGUACAGCUGGAGGCUCUAUUUGCUGGUGCCCAUUAUAGUGUUAUCAUGUGACUAAGUUUUGCCAAUGGAAGAUGAGAAGUAAUGAUAUAGGUCAGUUCAAGCCAAGGCAAUUAAAACCACAACUACACACUAAAUCAUAUAAUUGGGGUAAAGGGCAAAUAAGACAACAUAAGGAAAACAUUUAGGGCAUAGUAAUGCUAAGUAAGUGGUAUUUAUUAUUAUGAGUAUUAUAACCCACAUUUGGCACUCCAUAUGAAUAACCUGUAGUUUUUCCUGUAUCAGCUUCAAUAAGAACACAAUACUUGGUCACAUGCUUCAAGGUCAAAUGCAAGUCACAAUGUAGAUUUUAAUUGCAGAAAUAAAGGAGCAAAUUUACAUUGCACACAUCAUAGCAAAGAACUUAGUAACAAUCUCCAUUAGACCUUUUUUCUCCCAGAGAGUAAUUCUUCAGCUGCCAGCCUAGAGAUGUUUUUCUUUCUUGAUAUUUUCCCCAUAAAUCUCUAAGUUAUACUCUAUUGUCCAAACAAAUUCAGAUUCCACUUAAAAAAUAAUCUCACUUGAAGAACUUCUGAGGUCAACUGGACCCGCCUUCCUUAAAAGGCAAAUUGUCAAUAACCCAUUGUUAUUCAACCUGAUUUUUGAUGGUCUCCAUUCUUAGCUAAUCAUAAUAUCCAAAUAUCCAAAUAUUUACCCAACAUUACUAGAGCCUAUACCUAGAAGGGGAUUUUUUUUUCUAAGAGAAAUAUUCUCCCUCCUCACCCAAUUUUCGUGGAAUUUUAAAUGAGUUUCUCAUUUGACUCCUGGUUGCAUUAAGGAAAUGGACCAUAUUUGGAGAUUCUCUCCUCUUUCUGACUAAAAUAGCCCUAGAGAAGCCUUGAGUUGCCUCAUUAAAGAUAGCAUCUGCCCACCAAGCUAUUUUUUUUAGAGUAACUCUGGCCUUUGCUUGUGUUUGGUCCAUUCUUUAUCCUCUUCAAAAAAAUAUAGCUUAUGGACAUUGUCCCUGCAUAUGUUGAAUUUGGUCUCAACAACGUACUCCUUCCUUCCCUGUCCUGGGAAAUUCCUGUCUUUGUAUUCUUGAUGAUGUUCACCUAAGUCUCUUCAUUGAAAUUCAGCCUCACAGUCUACCCAUUUCACUAAACCUCUGGAAGACAUGAUUCCUAUUCCUGUCCCCUGAACAGCACCAACCCUCUUUACGUAUACUUAAUGAAUCUUAGUUCUUUCAUAGGAGUUAUCAUCCAACUAACAUCCAGUGUGGCUAAGUCUACCAGUCUGUGGCACAAUAAAGAUACCACACUAUACCUGUGACUAACCAUGAGGCAAGUGUGGAAAACACCGAAAUUGUUUUAUAAUAUUCAUCCCUUGUUUAAUAACUGUCUUCAUCAAUAUACUGUAAAUUAUGCAUGGGAUGAACCGUGUCUGAAUCAUUCCUUGAAGUAUCCUCAGAAUCUAGCACUGUACCUCAGGUAUAUCAGGGGCUCUGUAAUGUUUAUUAAAGGAAUAAACAAUAUAGAUAACCUAUAAGUGAAAGAUUAAAUCGUCAAAUAUGUGUUUAUCAAAACAAAAUCCAUACUACAUUUUAAAAAAUCUAACUCAUACUUAAUAAUUACUACCUUUGUAAAUUUAGACAAACUGCUCUUUGGUUCUCAGCGUCCUUUUCUCUAAAAUGAUGCAGUGAAAAGUAGAGUGAAAGAAAUUAGAACAUCACAAAAAUGCUAUCUCAACGUUAGAGAUUGUUGUUUUCAUUUUUAUUGGCAAUAGGAGGCUGACAGAUUAAUUAUUACAGUCUAGGAUAUUAAUCACUUCCACUCAUGUCUAUUGCAUUAUAUGAGAAGUAAUGUGUCUCAGAAACAACUUUAUAGGAGCUCAUUGCCUAGCUCAUUGCCCCUGACUUGCUGGACACAGAGGAAAAUCACAUAUUUCCAUUCUUUGUCUUUAAAAUGAGAAAAAUGCAUGUCUGCUUCCUGGUUAGGUUACAUAUAUCAAAUCAAGUACUCCUAAUUUAGUGUUUAUCAGUUCCUCCAUCCUAAGAUUUUCCUUGCCCAGUUUCCUCUGUGGUUAAAAGAAACUGGCAAUUAUUUUAGUCUCAUUUUAAUCUGUGUUUCAUAUUUUAAACCUGCUGUUUUAUAUUAAAAUAUAGAAACAAAUAACUGUUAAAAAUUUAUGGAAUUAAUCUAAUGCAGGGGUAAAAAUUCUGUUCUUGUUGUUAACAAAUUCUUACUAUUAAACUCCUAAAUGAACUAUUCCUUG